CACAAACUGUCAGACAGGAAGCCGAACCUCGUUGUAUACAUAAACAGCGUAAAAUAUUUGGUAAAGUUACUGUUGAAAUUCGUAUGUAACGCCCUUUGUGUGAGCGUGUGGGUUUGCCUGCCUGUCUCUCUGUCUGUCUGUCAAUUUGGCUCUUCUAUUAUUCGAUAUAUCGCCGGCCAACGAACAAAGCCAACGACCGCGUCACUCUUCUAGCUCUCUUUCUUCCACAAUCUCCCAACUUUACUCUCUCUCGCGAGCGCUCUUUCUCUGAGGCCUUUUGAUUUUGUUCAAGAUGAACGACCUGCUUACGGAUUCAUUUGUUGGUGAUGCAAGAGCUCAGCCUUCUGGAACAAAUGAUAUCGAACUGGGAAGGCCAGUUCAUAGCAGUUUUGACACGGGAAUGGA